GUGGGAGGGGGCUUGCCCCCGAUAGCGGUUUGUCAGCCAGCAAAUUUGCAACUGAUACAGAGUCAUCGGGGGCAAGCCCCCUCCCAC
rnacentral:misc_RNA from 1 species